rnacentral:rRNA from 1 species
UACGGAGGAUCCGAGCGUUAUCCGGAUUUACUGGGUUUAAAGGGUGCGUAGGCGGGCGCUUAAGUCAGCGGUGAAAUACGGGGGCUCAACCUUCGAACGGCCGUUGAUACUGGGCGCCUUGGAUUCGGUCGAGGCGGGCGGUAUGCGACAUGUAGCGGUGAAAUGCUUAGAUAUGUCGCAGAACGCCGAUUGCGAAGGCAGCUCGCCAGGCCGACAUUGACGCUGAGGCACGAAAGCGUGGGGAUCGAACAGG